GAUGAACGCUGGCGGCGUGCCUAAUACAUGCAAGUCGAGCGAACAGACGAGGAGCUUGCUCCUCUGACGUUAGCGGCGGACGGGUGAGUAACACGUGGAUAACCUACCUAUAAGACUGGGAUAACUUCGGGAAACCGGAGCUAAUACCGGAUAAUAUAUUGAACCGCAUGGUUCAAUAGUGAAAGACGGUUUUGCUGUCACUUAUAGAUGGAUCCGCGCCGCAUUAGCUAGUUGGUAAGGUAACGGCUUACCAAGGCAACGAUGCGUAGCCGACCUGAGAGGGUGAUCGGCCACACUGGACCUGAGCCACGGUCCAGACUCCUACGGGAGGCAGCAGUAGGGAAUCUUCCGCAAUGGGCGAAAGCCUGACGGAGCCACGCCGCGUGAGUGAUGAAGGUCUUCGGAUCGUAAAACUCUGUUAUUAGGGAAGAACAAAUGUGUAAGUAACUAUGCACGUCUUGACGGUACCUAAUCAGAAAGCCACGGCUAACUACGUG
rnacentral:rRNA from 1 species